rnacentral:rRNA from 1 species
CCUGUUUAUCAAAAACAUCUCUCCCCGAAUGAUAUUAUGGGGAGUAGGCCCUGCCCGGUGGAGAUUUCUAAACGGAAAGGUUAACUUUUAAAGUAGCGUAAUAAUUUGUCCCUUAAUUAGGGUCUGUAUGAAAGGGUUGACGUGGAAAAACUGUCUUGAAAAAAUAAUCUAAAAUUUUCUUUUUAGUGAAAAGCCUGAAAUGUGCUUAAAAGACGAGAAGACCCCGUCGAGCUUGGAGAAGAAGAAAAAUUUUGGAUUUUUUUUUUUAGGUUGGUUGGGGUAACAGAGGAGAAAACAAACCUCCGGUUAAAUAGUCAUGGAUCCAUAUUUUAUGAUAAUAGGAAAAAGCUACCGCGGGGAUAACAGCGCAAGACGGUCUGAGAGUUCAUAUCUAAGACUGUAAGUGCGACCUCGAUGUUGGAUUAAGGUAGGCUUGGUGGUGCAGGAGCUACUAUAAGCGGGACUGUUCGUCCUUUAAAUCCUUACAUGAUCUGAGUC